ACACAUGCAAGUCGGACGGUAGCACAGAGAGCUUGCUCUCGGGUGACGAGUGGCGGACGGGUGAGUAAUGUCUGGGGAUCUGCCCGAUAGAGGGGGAUAACCACUGGAAACGGUGGCUAAUACCGCAUAACGUCGCAAGACCAAAGAGGGGGACCUUCGGGCCUCUCACUAUCGGAUGAACCCAGAUGGGAUUAGCUAGUAGGCGGGGUAAUGGCCCACCUAGGCGACGAUCCCUAGCUGGUCUGAGAGGAUGACCAGCCACACUGGAACUGAGACACGGUCCAGACUCCUACGGGAGGCAGCAGUGGGGAAUAUUGCACAAUGGGCGCAAGCCUGAUGCAGCCAUGCCGCGUGUAUGAAGAAGGCCUUCGGGUUGUAAAGUACUUUCAGCGGGGAGGAAGGCGAUGGGGUUAAUAACCUUGUCGAUUGACGUUACCCGCAGAAGAAGCACCGGCUAACUCCGUGCCAGCAGCCGCGGUAAUACGGAGGGUGCAAGCGUUAAUCGGAAUUACUGGGCGUAAAGCGCACGCAGGCGGUCUGUUAAGUCAGAUGUGAAAUCCCCGGGCUUAACCUGGGAACUGCAUUUGAAACUGGCAGGCUUGAGUCUUGUAGAGGGGGGUAGAAUUCCAGGUGUAGCGGUGAAAUGCGUAGAGAUCUGGAGGAAUACCGGUGGCGAAGGCGGCCCCCUGGACAAAGACUGAC
rnacentral:rRNA from 1 species